rnacentral:rRNA from 3 species
GGAGUCUAGCAUGUGCGCGAGUCAUUGGGACAUAACUAAACCUAAAGGCGCAAUGAAAGUAAAAGUUCGUCUUGCACGAACUUAGGGAGGAUGGGCAAUCGUUUCGGCUAUUGCUCCGCACUCCCGGGGCGUCUCAUUCUCAUUGCGAGAAGAGGCGCACCAAGAGCGUACACGCUGGGACCCGAAAGAUGGUGAACUAUGCCUGGUCAGGACGAAGUCAGGGGAAACCCUGAUGGAGGUCCGUAGCGAUUCUGACGUGCAAAUCGAUCGUCGGAACUGGGUAUAGGGGCGAAAGACUAAUCGAACCAUCUAGUAGCUGGUUCCCUCCGAAGUUUCCCUCAGGAUAGCUGGCGCUCGUCGCCUACGAGUUUCAUCCGGUAAAGCGAAUGAUUAGAGGCAUUGGGGUCGAAACGGCCUCAACCUAUUCUCAAACUUUAAAUGGGUGAGAUCUCCGGCUUGCUCGAAUUCAUGAAGCCGCGAGAAUCGAAUCAGAGUGCCAAGUGGGCCAUUUUUGGUAAGCAGAACUGGCGCUGUGGGAUGAACCAAACGCCGAGUUAAAGCGCCUAAAUCGACGCUUAUGGGAUACCAUGAAAGGCGUUGGUAACUUAAGACAUCAGGACGGUGGCCAUGGAAGUC